rnacentral:rRNA from 1 species
AGGGUUUGAUUAUGGCUCAGGAUGAACGCUGGCGGCGUGCCUAACACAUGCAAGUCGAGCGAAGCAGUUCGGAGGAAGUUUUCGGAUGGAAUCUGAGCUGACUGAGCGGCGGACGGGUGAGUAACGCGUGGGUAACCUGCCUCAUACAGGGGGAUAACAGCUAGAAAUGGCUGCUAAUACCGCAUAAGCGCACGGUAUCGCAUGAUACAGUGUGAAAAGCCGAGACGGUAUGAGAUGGACCCGCGUCUGAUUAGCUAGUUGGUGGGGUAACGGCCCACCAAGGCGACGAUCAGUAGCCGACCUGAGAGGGUGACCGGCCACAUUGGGACUGAGACACGGCCCAA